rnacentral:ncRNA from 1 species
UGCAGCUUCCUUCUUCACUUGAACGCAGCUAGAUUUAUGAUAAUUCUUCAGACCUUCUUCACUCUUUGUAAUAAGAUAACAGUCCUUUUUUCUUCUACAAAAGUGCCCUCAGCAGAAGGAAGGGCAAACGCAAAACGCAAACGAACUCGGAGACGUCGGCAGGAGUUCCGCGGAGAGUUUUCUUUUCUUUGUAAGGACGGUUAUUACCCCUGGAAUUGGGUUGUCCGGAGAUAGGGGUAUCGCCUCCGUAAAGCACCACCUCUCUUGUGGUGUCCAGAGCGCUCUUGUGGGCCCUUGAAAAUCCGAGGGAGGCGGUGUUAUUUUCGUGGCAGGCCGUACCCAUAUCCGCAUCAGGUCUCCAAGGUGAAGAGCCUCU